UACGAAGGGUGCAAGCGUUACUCGGAAUUACUGAGCGUAAAGCGUGCGUAGGUGGUUCGUUAAGUCUGAUGUGAAAGCCCUGGGCUCAACCUGGGAAUGGCAUUGGAUACUGGCGACCUAGAGUGCGGUAGAGGGGUGUGGAAUUCCCGGUGUAGCAGUGAAAUGCGCAGAUAUCGGGAGGAACACCAGCGGCGAAGGCGGCACUCUGGGCUGGUACUGACGCUGAGGAGCGAAAGCGUGGGUAGCAAACAGG
rnacentral:rRNA from 1 species